rnacentral:rRNA from 1 species
CCCUACGGGGUGCAGCAGUUACGAAAACUUGGCAAUGCGGGAAACCGUGACCAGGGAACUCCAAGUGAGUCUCUUUUAGGGGCUCUUUUCAUGACUCUAAAACGGUCUUGGAAUAAGGGGUGGGUAAGGACGGUGCCAGCCGCCGCGGUAAUACCGGCGCCUCAAGUGGUCGUCGCUUUUAUUGGGCCUAAAACGUCCGUAGCCGGUUUGGUACAUUCGUGGGUAAAUCAACUCGCUCAACGAGUUGAAUUCUGCGAGGACGGCCAGACUAGGGACCGGGAGAGGUGUGGGGAACUCUCAGGGUAGGGGUAAAAUCCUGUCAUCCUGAGAGGACCACCUGUUGCGAAGGCGCCACACUAGAACGGAUCCGACGGUCAGGGACGAAGCCUAGGGGCACGAACCGGAUUAGAUACCCGGGUAGUCCUAGGUGUAAACGCUGUGGGCUUGGUGUUGGGGAAGACUAGAGCUUUCCCAGUGCCGUAGCGAAGGUGUUGAGUCCACUGCCUGGGGAGUACGGUCGCAAGGCUGAAACUUAAAGGAAUUGGCGGGGGAGCACUGCAACCGGAGGAUUGUGCGGUUUAAUUGGAUUCAACGCCGGAAAACUCACCAGCAUCGACGGACAAAUGAAAGCCAACUUGACGAGUUUGCUGGAUUGUUCGAGAAGUGGUGCAUGGCCAA